AACCAGAGUUCGUAAUUCUAAUGACCUCUCCACAUUUAUGGCUGCAGCAUUCCCAAGAAGGGGUAGGGAGGGGCAUAUAAUGAGCUACCCUCAGGGGAUCAGAAAGAAAAGGGAAGCUGUCCCUUAGCGAAGAAUAAAACUGUGGACUGACCCCCACCCAUUUGCGAAGAAAGUACUGGGUCUUCAGCUUUCAUUGUUCAGCCGGUGGUCUUUGUGGACAACACCAGGGGCCCCUCCUGCUGAAGACUGUCUGGACUUCCUGAUUUUCACUCCUGUAUAAACCCCCUCCCCCAUUACUACCUUUGUCUCCUUGGGGAAAAAAAAAUGUUUUUCACUUAAGCAAAAUAAUAACUACCCAGUAUUUGUUUCUGGAGUGAAAUUAUAAACUUCAUUGUACAUUCUUCCUGGCUUUGAUGCUUAUCGUGAAGAGUUCAGUGAAAAUAAAUUGUUUUUAUGAAAGCA
rnacentral:lncRNA from 1 species